rnacentral:rRNA from 1 species
AAAAGGUGGCUAUGCUACCGCUUUUGGAUGGGCCCGCGGCGCAUUAGCUAGUUGGUGGGGUAAAGGCUUACCAAGGCAAUGAUGCGUAGCCGAACUGAGAGGUUGAUCGGCCACAUUGGGACUGAGACACGGCCCAAACUCCUACGGGAGGCAGCAGUAGGGAAUCUUCCACAAUGGGCGAAAGCCUGAUGGAGCAACGCCGCGUGGGUGAAGAAGGUCUUCGGAUCGUAAAACCCUGUUGUUAGAGAAGAAAGUGCGUGAGAGUAACUGUUCACGUUUCGACGGUAUCUAACCAGAAAGCCACGGCUAACUACGUGCCAGCAGCCGCGGUAAUACGUAGGUGGCAGGCGUUAUCCGGAUUUAUUGGGCGUAAAGGGAACGCAGGCGGUCUUUUAAGUCUGAUGUGAAAGCCUUCGGCUUAACCGGAGUAGUGCAUUGGAAACUGGGAGACUUGAGUGCAGAAGAGGAGAGUGGAACUCCAUGUGUAGCGGUGAAAUGCGUAGAUAUAUGGAAGAACACCAGUGGCGAAAGCGGCUCUCUGGUCUGUAACUGACGCUGAGGUUCGAAAGCGUGGGUAGCAAACAGGAUUAGAUACCCUGGUAGUCCACGCCGUAAACGAUGAAUGCUAAGUGUUGGAGGGUUUCCGCCCUUCA